rnacentral:lncRNA from 1 species
GAAAAUGUCACACCAAAUUAAAAUCAAUAAAUAAGGCAACCGGUUCAACCGCGCGCUUGCUUCGGUUUUCACCGAGCGACACAUUCUGCCAGUCUCUUUCUCUGCAACAAAGGAAGGACACCCUUUCGGUUACAGGGACAACCGUCGUCAAUCCUUUCAAUAAGGUUCUCUCUCUCUUUCAUCCCAAAUCUUUUUUAAUUUGUAUUGAUAUCUCUCAUCUCAGAUCUUUCACAGCGUCAAGGCUUGAGAUCUCUGGAGCAUGGAAAAUUCAAUAGGUAUUGACACAAAUAAUUCAUGUGUGCUAGCACUGUGUUCUAUUGCUGGAAGACAUCCCUGUUAUCUGUUUCAUGGCUAGUUAUCAUGAUCGGUUCGAAAUGUUUCUUGUAUGUGUAAUUGUAUGGUAGUAAAUUGUUUAAGAGGCGAAAUCUUGAAAUUUGAGGAUGAAUUUUUGCCACCAAUAAGAAAAAGAAAGUGGGGCAACAAAUCAGGCAAUUUUAUGGCAUGAUUUUUUAUGAUUCUAAUGAAUUCUGGGGACUUGGGUUCAGAUAUAUGAGUGCGUAAUAAUUUUAUGGCAUGAUUUUUUCUGAAUUAUAAUGGAAUUUCUGGAUCUUGGGUUUGGAUAACCUACCGAAUAAUAAUUAGAUGGCAUGAAUUUUUUAUGAACUGUAAUUGAAUUUUGAGAACUUGGGUUUUUAUCUUAUGGGACAAAUUUCAGCAAGAUAUUUGAUGAAAUUUGGUGUAAAGGGAAUAGGAAUUUAGAUCAGUGUUAUCAGGAUCAAAUCAGCCAUCAAACUUGCGAGGGGUUUGGUCUGUCCUACUGUUUGUUGAACCAGUAUGUCCGGAUUUUAAAAAUCUUAAGGAAAGGGUGUGGUUUGUAUAAGGCUGAGCCCUAACCAUUCGAAGUAAGGUGCAACUUUAAAUUGUGUUGAAACAUGUUGUUUCAGUAUUAGAAAUCUUUGUGAUAGCUUGAAAAUUUAUGUUUACCUAUAAUUAUAAAAUUUAAACAUAAAAAAAUAGUGUAGAUCGAGUAGAUUUAUGAACACAAGAAAAUAUUGAAAAUUGACGAUUUAGAUAAUACAUAUAAGAUGCAUCACUUCUAAGACUUAAAGACUAUUUUAUCUCAUGUCCAUACAUCAUGAGGUCGAGAUGAUCGAAUCAAGGGUUUUCAGCAUUGAAACAACCUCUUCUAGCAAAUUUUUGAGGUGCGCCUUAAUUUGAUUGUUUAGGGCCUCACCUUAUAUAAACGUUUUUUGUUUAACAAAAAUAUGAAUGAUAGUUUAAAAAUAUGUAAUGUAUUAGGGGAAAAACGUUCUUCACUUUGUUUGGACGGUUGAACCGAUUUCACCAAGUGGUUGGACUGGCCAAAUUCAUGACCAAUUUUUUACCAAACCCAGUUUUUUACUCUGGACUAGACUUGUUAUAAGGCAUUGGUCUACAGUUUGACCGGUUGGACCGUUAAGGCAUCGGUCUAUAGUUUGACCGGUUGGAAUGUGAGUUCGGACCAAUCUUGAUAACUACGAUCUGGAUACCCAAACCUGAUAUGAAGUUUUUACUAGGAGUGGUUUAUCCUGAGCUUUAUUCUUAUAUCAUUUUUUUCUUUUUGAUUCAGGAAGGUGUGGAAGAUGAGAAAGGCCCCACCAUGCAACUUUCAUAGAGAGUUGGGAGAGGUAAUAUAGGAAGUCACCUCCAUUUUUUUGCUUUAGGAUUCAGGAAGGUGUGGAAGAUGAGAAAGGCCCCACCAUGCAACUUUCAUAGAGAGUUGGGAGAGGUAAUAGGAAGUCACCUCCAUUUCUUUUCUUUUGAAUUCAGGAAGGUGUGGAAGAUGUGUAAGGCCCCACCAUGCAACUUUCAAAGAGAGUUGGGAGAGGUAAUAGGAAGUCACCUCUAUUGAAUUUUUUGCUGGGUCCCAAUCACAUAUCUUAAAGUUUUCCCAUCCUUUUACAUCCUCUCUCUUCUAUUUCCUUUCACUAAAGGCUUCCUCUUGUUUCUCUGUGUCUCCAUAACAUGCCUGCUCUCUUUCUUCUUGUCAAUUGGUCCUUAAUUCCUUAAAAAUCCAUCCUCUCUCUCUCUCUCUCUCUCUCUCUCUCUCUCUC